UACGUAGGGUGCAAGCGUUGUCCGGAAUUAUUGGGCGUAAAAAGCUCGUAGGCGGUUCGUCGCGUCGGCUGUGAAAUCCCGAGGCUCAACCUCGGGUCUGCAGUCGAUACGGGCGGACUGGAGUUCGGCAGGGGAGACUGGAAUUCCUGGUGUAGCGGUGAAAUGCGCAGAUAUCAGGAGGAACACCGGUGGCGAAGGCGGGUCUCUGGGCCGAUACUGACGCUGAGGAGCGAAAGCGUGGGGAGCGAACAGG
rnacentral:rRNA from 1 species